rnacentral:rRNA from 1 species
CCGGUUGAUCCUGCCGGAGGCCAUUGCUAUCGGAAUCCGAUUUAGCCAUGCGAGUUGCACGAAUUCAUCUUCGUAGCGAACUGGUCAGUAACACGUGGCCAAUCUACCCUAUGGACUCGGAUAAUCUCGGGAAACUGAGGGUAAUCCGUGAUAGCGCUCCCACGCUUGAAUGGGGGGAGCGUGAAACGCUCCGGCGCCAUAGGAUGGGGCUGCGGCCGAUUANGUAGACGGUGGGGUAACGGCCCACCGUGCCGAUAAUCGGUACGGGUCAUGAGAGUGAGAGCCCGGAGACGGACUCUGAGACAAGAGUCCGGGCCCUACGGGGCGCAGCAGGGGCGAAACCUUUACACUGCACGACAGUGCGAUAGGGGGAUUCCGAGUGCGAGGGCAUACAGUCCUCGCUUUUGGGGACCGGAAGGGGGGACACGAAUAAGGGCUGGGCAAGACCGGUGGCAGCCGCCGCGGUAAUACCGGCAGCUCAAGUGAUGGCCGAUAUUAGUGGGGCUAAAGCGUCCGUAGCUGGGCGGUGCAGGGUCCGUCGGGAAAUCCACUCGCCUAACGAGGGGGGCGUCCGGGCGGAAACCGCACGGCUUGGGACCGAGGGGACANGAGGGGGACGUCUGGGGGGNAGGAGGGAAAUCCUGUAAUCCCUGGACGGA